GGAGGAAUACCCAAGUCCGGCUGAAGGGAUCGGUCUUGAAAACCGACAGAGGCUUAACGGCUCGCGGGGGUUCGAAUCCCUCUUCCUCCGCCA
rnacentral:tRNA from 1 species